ensembl:snoRNA SNORD81 Small nucleolar RNA SNORD81
AUGGAUAUAUGAUGAUAAACAUAACCUUGAACUCUCUCUCUGACUACAUGAUGGAAAAUAUCAAGGUCUGAUCUGUUCAU